rnacentral:rRNA from 1 species
UACGUAGGGGGCUAGCGUUGUCCGGAUUUAUUGGGCGUAAAGAGCGUGUAGGCGGCCGGGUAAGUCCGGUGUGAAAACUCGAGGCUCAACUUCGAGCUGUCGGUGGAAACUUUCUGGCUAGAGUCCGGAAGAGGAGAAUGGAAUUCCUGGUGUAGCGGUGAAAUGCGCAGAUAUCAGGAAGAACACCCGUGGCGAAGGCGGUUCUCUGGGACGGUACUGACGCUGAGACGCGAAAGCGUGGGAGCGAACAGG